rnacentral:lncRNA from 1 species
CUUGCUUAUACUCCUCCCUCAAAAGCAGCAAAUAUUUCCCUUGUUCCCAGGAGUUGAAAGGAUUUCCUGUCUUUCCAGCAGCAGUCUAUGCUUUUGCUUUUUUUGAGAGAAGAGACUGGAAAGCAGGUGAGAUUUUGUGCCUGUGUGCCACUGAGAAAGCCUUUCUCUGGCCUUUGGCUCUGUCCCUAACCUUUCUUACGAACGUCCUGUGGAUUCUGGAAAAGAGCUGGAAAGGAGCCCCAGGCCUCUCAAAAAGUAUGAAAGAACUGGAAUUCACCAGAUCAUCACAUCCAGACAAUGAGACACCAGGCCCCUCAUUCAUCAUGAUGGCUUCUUUACCCCUAUGGAGUUCCUGUUUUCCCUUAGAUAGUUACAUUUCUUCCCUGCUAUAUAAACCCCUAAUUUUAGUCAAUCCCGAAGACGGAUUUGAGCUUCAGCUCCCAUCUCCUUGGCUGCAGACCUGAUUAAAGCCUUCUUCCGUGGCAGUACUUGUCAUCUCAGUCAUUGACUUUCUGUGCAGCAAGCAGCAGGACCUAGAUGCAACCUGUGGUGUUUCAGUAACACGUGUAGUAACUAACAUUGUCUGACAUGCUCAUUACAUGUCUUUUUCUAAUCCCAGUUUUGCUAUCUCCUCAAUUUUCAAUUGGAGAUUAUACCGCAUGAGGUAAUCUGUUUUGUAAAAAACAAAAAGCUAUUGGACUCUAUCCACAUGUGCAUAAUUUUUCACCCUAGAAUUAGAUCUUCCAUACUUACUUGAAAUAAUCAUAUAUAUUAGUGUAAACAGCAGAUUUAAAAAGAGAUUAGGCUUAGGUUCCGUAAACAGUAAAUGGUUAAUACGAUUUUUCAAAAUUGCUUUUUACAAGUGAAUCACUGGUUCAAACAUAGGAUAAGUUAGAAAUAAACAAAAUUAUUACCCUCUGAAAGUUAACUGGUGAUUUGGGUUCAGUUCCUAGUUUCCCCUGUACUAGUGUCCAGCCUCAACAAUUAGAUUUAAUUUAGCACGGCUGAUGGGAGCCUUCUCUGAAAGGGUUGCAUAAAUGGUUUCUGGGGUCAAGUAAUAAAAAUUCCUCCUAACUCAGGGGUGAAGUGCUGCUGAAAACUGGAACUCUUGAUAAUUUUAUGACCUCAGUUCAAUUCAGUUAGAUAAAGUAAAUACUUCUGUAGCAAUCACACACAAAGUACACAGAAAUUAAUAACUGAAGAAAUACUAUUCUGAGAACAUUGACACAUAGGCACACCUCAGCUUUUUUUUUGUUUUUAGGAUGCUAUUGCCUUCAAUUUACAGUGGUAAAACUAUAACCAUGCUUACCCAAAUUUCCCUCCCCACAGGGUAGGUGCUGCAGUUUAAUUUAAUUAGGGAGAAGUGAUUCUUACUUGGGUAUUGGUAUAUUAAUGACCAUUCUUAAAAGCUACCAGGGUCAAGUAAUUCUUUGACAAAACAUACCUAUUUGUAUUUAUCAUAUUUGAACAGAGAUAACUUGGAAACACUCAAUAAGCAGAAUGGUAAAGAAAUUUCAAAUUUUUAAUAUGAAAUCAAACAUUUUUCAUUUAAGCGUGAACACCACUGUUGCUAAACAUACUCUAUGGGUUGAAUUUUCCCAGAAACACCUGGUAACUCUCUUUCCUUUCCCUUUUGCCUCUUUAAGUAGGUGUUAAUCAUUUGCCAGAUCUGUGUUCCAGCCUAUCUAUGGUUCAGAGUCAAUAUUCAUAAUACAUGGCGGUGGUGGUGGUGUGUGUGUGUAUGUGCGCACGUGCAUGUGUUUGUGAGUCUUUGUUGAUUCUACUGAGUUGAUGUUUUUUUAACAAUGUCUUUGUCCAGAAUAUGUACGUAUUAGAGUUCCUCAGAUAACCUUCUACAACUUAAAUUCAAACUGCAAUCACUCCAAACUUGCUGACCUAUUUGCAAAUCUUUACACAUAUCUUUGCAUAUCUAUUUUCUCAUUUUCUUUCUUCUCUUCUCAUACUACUAUUUUUCACUUCUCCAUAUCUAAUUUUUCUUCAGUUGUUUAUAUCUGUAUUAGGGUUUAAACCCUGAGGUUUGUUCUUUCCCAUUCUCUGAACAAAGAGAGAGAUUCAUUCAAAAUUUGGAGAAAACCCAUCACUGAAGCAGUAAACAUCUGGCUUUGGGCAGUAUUGCUACAGAGCACGAUUGUAAAACACAUACUGUUUUCUGACACUUUUUCUUUUAUUUGCUUCUUUCUUUUGUUUGUUUUUUUAGUUCCUUAAUUUAAAAAUAAAUAUGUUAAUUAUAGAAGAAAUUAAAUAUAAAAAGUAUAAGUGAGAAAAAUCAAAGUCAUCCAUAUGCUUAACUCCUAGAAAGAGCCUGUUAACUUUCUGCUAAAUUGCCUUCUGAUCUUUUUCUAGUGUACGUGAAGGCUAGUUUGUAUAUAUAUGAAUAUAUUUAAAUAAAAUGCAUUUGCAUAUACAUGUACUUAUACAUACAUUCACGUAUAUUUGCAUACUUGGGAUCAUAGUGUAUAUAUUUCUUUAUCCAAUUUCUUACUUAUUAUAUUGUGAAUAAUUCCCAUGCCAUUUAACCUUCUUUUUC